AUCUAAAUAGUUUAAGAGGAAAAUUUCGGUUUGUGGUGCCGACGAUAUAUUUAUAUAUUUUAGAUU
rnacentral:tRNA from 1 species